rfam:Triticum urartu cultivar G1812 contig864850, whole genome shotgun sequence.
CAGGUACUCCCUCCGUUCGAAAUAACUUGUCGCAGAAAUGAAUGUAUCUAGACGUAUUUUAGUUCUAGAUACAUUCAUAUUCGAGACAAGUAAUUCCAAAUGGAGGGAGUAAGAU